UACGUAGGGUGCGAGCGCUGUCCGGAAUUAUUGGGCGUAAAGGGCUCGUAGGCGGUUUGUCGCGUCGGGAGUGAAAUCCACUGGCUUAACUGGUGGCUUGCUUUCGAUACGGGCAGACUGGAGGUAUGCAGGGGAGAACGGAAUUCCUGGUGUAGCGGUGAAAUGCGCAGAUAUCAGGAGGAACACCGGUGGCGAAGGCGGUUCUCUGGGCCUUACCUGACACUGAGGAGCGAAAGCGUGGGGAGCGAACAGG
rnacentral:rRNA from 1 species